rnacentral:rRNA from 1 species
ACGCUCGACACCUACUGGAGGCAGCAGUUGGGAAUAUUGGACAAUGGAGGAAACUCUGAUCCAGUGACGCCGCGUGAAGGAAGAAGGUCUUCGGAUUGUAAACUUAUUUUGUCAGGGAAGAAAAUGACUGUACCUGAAGAAAAAGCACCGGCUAACUACGUGUCAGCAGCCGCGGUAAUCUGAGCGGGCUGGCAAGGC